UAAAGCCCUUUCGGCUGGGGAGAAGGGUGUCAUGGUAAAUAAUCAUGGCAUCUGACGGUACCAGAAGAAGAAGCACCGGCUAAUUUCGUGC
rnacentral:rRNA from 1 species